rnacentral:rRNA from 1 species
GAGUGAUCGAAAGAUGAAAAGCACUUUGAAAAGAGAGUUAAACAGCACGUGAAAUUGUUGAAAGGGAAGCGUUUGCGACCAGACUCGCCCGCGGGGUUCAGCCGGCACUCGUGCCGGUGUACUUCCCCGUGGGCGGGCCAGCGUCGGUUUGGGCGGCCGGUCAAAGGCCCUCGGAAUGUAUCACUCUCGGGGUGUCUUAUAGCCGAGGGUGCAAUGCGGCCUGCCCGGACCGAGGAACGCGYUCGG